AACGAACGCUGGCGGCAUGCCUAACACAUGCAAGUCGAACGAUUGCCUUCGGGUGAUAGUGGCGCACGGGUGCGUAACGCGUGGGAAUCUGCCCUUAGGUUCGGAAUAACAGCUGGAAACGGCUGCUAAUACCGGAUGAUAUCGCGAGAUCAAAGAUUUAUCGCCUGAGGAUGAGCCCGCGUUGGAUUAGGUAGUUGGUGGGGUAAAGGCCUACCAAGCCGACGAUCCAUAGCUGGUCUGAGAGGAUGAUCAGCCACACUGGGACUGAGACACGGCCCAGACUCCUACGGGAGGCAGCAGUGGGGAAUAUUGGACAAUGGGCGCAAGCCUGAUCCAGCAAUGCCGCGUGAGCGAUGAAGGCCCUAGGGUUGUAAAGCUCUAUUACCCGGGAAGAUAAUGACUGUACCGGGAGAAUAAGCCCCGGCUAACUCCGUG
rnacentral:rRNA from 1 species